UACAGAGGUCCCAAGCGUUGUUCGGAUUCACUGGGCGUAAAGGGUGCGUAGGCGGCCGGGUAAGUCUGAUGUGAAAUCCCGCAGCUCAACUGCGGAACUGCAUCGGAUACUCUCCGGCUAGAGGAAUGGAGGGGAGACUGGAAUUCUCGGUGUAGCAGUGAAAUGCGUAGAUAUCGUUUGGAACGCCAAAGGUGAAAACAGGUUGCUGGGGUUGUGCCGACGCUGAGACACGAAAGCCAGGGGAGCAAACGGG
rnacentral:rRNA from 1 species